rnacentral:rRNA from 1 species
CUGGCGGCGUGCCUAACACAUGCAAGUUCGAACGAAUGAAGCCUAACUUGCUAGGUGGAUUAGUGGCCGAACGGGUGAGUAAUACGUUGAGUUGACCUACCUUUUGACUCUGGGAUAAGCCCUGGGAAACUGGGUCUAAUACCGGAUACGACCAAUCUCCGCAUGGGGUGUUGGUGGAAAGCGUUAUGGAGUGGUUUUAGAUGGGCUCACGGCCUAUCAGCUUGUUGGUGAGGUAAUGGCUUACCAAGGCGACGACGGGUAGCCGGCCUGAGAGGGUGACCGGCCACACUGGGACUGAGACACGGCCCAGACUCCUACGGGAGGCAGCAGUGGGGAAUAUUGCACAAUGGGCGCAAGCCUGAUGCAGCGACGCCGCGUGAGGGAUGACGGCCUUCGGGUUGUAAACCUCUGUUAGCAUCGAAGAAGCGAAAGUGACGGUAGGUGCAGAGAAAGCGCCGGCUAACUACGUGCCAGCAGCCGCGGUAAUACGUAGGGCGCGAGCGUUGUCCGGAAUUAUUGGGCGUAAAGAGCUUGUAGGCGGUUGGUCGCGUCUGCUGUGAAAGGCUGGGGCUUAACCCUGGUUUUGCAGUGGGUACGGGCUAACUAGAGUGCAGUAGGGGAGACUGGAAUUCCUGGUGUAGCGGUGGAAUGCGCAGAUAUCAGGAGGAACACCGAUGGCGAAGGCAGGUCUCUGGGCUGUAACUGACGCUGAGAAGCGAAAGCAUGGGGAGCGAACAGGAUUAGAUACCCUGGUAGUCCAUGCCGUAAACGUUGGGCACUAGGUGUGGGGGACAUUCCACGUUUUCCGCGCCGUAGCUAACGCAUUAAGUGCCCCGCCUGGGGAGUACGGCCGCAAGGCUAAAACUCAAAGAAAUUGACGGGGGCCCGCACAAGCGGCGGAGCAUGCGGAUUAAUUCGAUGCAACGCGAAGAACCUUACCAAGGCUUGACAUAUACUGGACUGCGUCAGAGAUGGCGUUUCCCUUCGGGGCUGGUAUACAGGUGGUGCAUGGUUGUCGUCAGCUCGUGUCGUGAGAUGUUGGGUUAAGUCCCGCAACGAGCGCAACCCUCGUUCUAUGUUGCCAGCACGUGAUGGUGGGGACUCAUAGGAGACUGCCGGGGUCAACUCGGAGGAAGGUGGGGAUGACGUCAAAUCAUCAUGCCCCUUAUGUCUUGGGCUUCACGCAUGCUACAAUGGCCGGUACAGAGGGUUGCGAUACUGUGAGGUGGAGCUAAUCCCUAAAAGCCGGUCUCAGUUCGGAUUGGGGUCUGCAAACUCGACCCCUUGAAGUCGGAGUCGCUAGUGAAUCGCAGAAUCAGGCAAACGGCUGCGGUAAAUACGUUUCCCGGACU